UCGGCUGCGGCGGGGAACGCGUCGGGGGCCGUGGGCUCCGGGGGCGCUGCCGAAGGCGCCGGUCCUGGUCGCUCGGAGCCGUCCGGCCGGGC
rnacentral:tRNA from 1 species